UACAUGGGGUGCAAACGUUGCUCGGAAUCAUUGGGCGUAAAGCGCGCGUAGGCGGUUACUUAAGUUGGAUGUGAAAGCCCUCGGCUUAACCGAGGAAGUGCAUCCAAAACUGAGUAGCUAGAGUACGAAAGAGGGUCGCGGAAUUCCCGGUGUAGAGGUGAAAUGCGUAGAUAUCGGGAGGAACACCAGUGGCGAAGGCGACUACCUGGCCUGUUCUUGACGCUGAGGCGCGAAAGCUAGGGGAGCAAACGGG
rnacentral:rRNA from 1 species